GGAUCUACCAGGCUGUGGGACCGUAGGUGGUGGGUCGUUUUCCACGCUUCUUUUGUUGUACAGCACCAGGUGAAAAGACUGUAGUAGGUUUCCUUUGUGUGGUUGUGCUGACCCCUGUGAAUUCCCACAUGCGGGAAUCUCAACUGCAUAAUGUGGUAGUGGGGGACUGCGUUCGCGCUCUCCCCUC
rnacentral:snRNA from 1 species